rnacentral:lncRNA from 1 species
ACUUCUCAAGCAUGCUGCGAUGACUCGAUCUCUAAGUCAUGUAGGCUCAUAACCUAACAAUUAUUGACCAUACUUCUUAGUUAAGUCAGAUCUAUUGUUCACAAGUAGAUGUGAAGCCAUCAUUGGAUCAUUUACCUAACAAUUAUUGGACCUAAUCCCAUCCUCAUCCUAGAGCAACUCUUUGCUAAUAGAGUGAUUGAGUCUUUCGGAUGCAACUGAACCACUGUGACCAGUCGAGAACAAUCAACACCAAUAGGACCUCCGCACAUCUACAACAGUGGA